rnacentral:rRNA from 1 species
CGCUCUAUACCCUUUGUGACAUACCUAUAACUGUUGCUUCGGCGGGUAGGGUCUCCGUGACCCUCCCGGCCUCCCGCCCCCGGGCGGGUCGGCGCCCGCCGGAGGAUAACCAAACUCUGAUUUAACGACGUUUCUUCUGAGUGGUACAAGCAAAUAAUCAAAACUUUUAACAACGGAUCUCUUGGUUCUGGCAUCGAUGAAGAACGCAGCGAAAUGCGAUAAGUAAUGUGAAUUGCAGAAUUCAGUGAAUCAUCGAAUCUUUGAACGCACAUUGCGCCCGCCAGCAUUCUGGCGGGCAUGCCUGUUCGAGCGUCAUUUCAACCCUCAAGCUCUGCUUGGUGUUGGGGCCCUACAGCUGAUGUAGGCCCUCAAAGGUAGUGGCGGACCCUCCCGGAGCCUCCUUUGCGUAGUAACUUUACGUCUCGCACUGGGAUCCGGAGGGACUCUUGCCGUAAAACCCCCCAAUUUUCCAAAGGUUGACCUCGGAUCAGGUAGGAAUACCCGCUGAACUUAAGCAUAUCAAUAAGCGGAGGAA